UACAGAGGUCCCAAGCGUUGUUCGGAUUCACUGGGCGUAAAGGGUGCGCAGGUGGGUUUGCAAGUUUGAUGUGAAAGCCCCCGGGCUUAACCCGGGAAUGGCAUUGAAUACUGCAGAUCUGGAGGAUUGGAGGGGGGGACUGGAAUUCUUGGUGUAGCAGUGAAAUGCGUAGAUAUCAAGAGGAACACCAGUGGCGAAGGCGAGUCCCUGGACAAUACCUGACACUGAGGCACGAAAGCUAGGGGAGCAAACAGG
rnacentral:rRNA from 1 species